rnacentral:lncRNA from 1 species
CCGGGAGCAAGGUGGCAGGGUUUAGGGUGUCGCAAACUUCAAUGGUUAUGUGGGGAUUUUCACAUAGCAAGCUUUGGUACUUGGUUAAUCUAGCAUUUGUUAGCCAAUGAUGUCCUUUGGUAUUCAUCAAAGUUACCACAGCAUGGGGGGGUCUUUAUAUUCAGGUUUUGCCCAAGGGUUAGUUUAUCUGCUUCUUGUGCUAACAGGGCCAUUGCUGCCAGGGCCCUUAGCCAUGGGGGCCAGCCUUUGGAAACCCCGUCUAGUUGUUUUGAGAGAUAGGCCACUGGCCUUGGCCAGGGCCCCACAGUCUGGGUUAAAACUCCAACUGCCGUGUUUUCUUUUUCUGACACAUAGAGUGUAAAGGCUUUUGUCAGGUCGGGUAGCCUCAGGGCUGGGGCCAACAGGAGUUUUUCUUUUAACUCAUGAAAAGCUCAUUGCUGUUGGUUGUAAUAGAUGUAGUUUAUCCAAUUUACAUUUUUAUUAACUGCCACCCACCAAAAUAUUGACUCAAAUCCUGCAGCUAUUUGAUUUCAAGCUUUAAAUUGAUCUGGUAUUCCCCGUGGGACUCCAAUUGUGUCUAAAUAGACGUGAGAGUCAAAAAACCCAUAAGGGCCUUCUCUCGCUUUACAAUGUCUUAUUUUUCUUCCCUCUGGUUGAUGAAAUGCCAGGGUGAAAGGGAUAGCCAAUUGAACUAAAGUACAAGUGCCACUCCAGUUAUUCGGCAGAGUGCCCAGUAAAGGUCCACACACAAUCACAAUACCACCACACAUCCUGAAGAUCACGUUCUCAUCAAAGGGUGAAAAGAAAGGAAACUCGAUCCAGCCUAGGAAGGACCCUACCUUGUGCUGCUAAACACCGAGACUGCUGUUCAUACAGUGAAAAAAGGAUGGACUAAUCACAACCAAGUCAAGAAAGUGCCACCCCCUCCAGAGUCAUGGGCCAUAGUCCCAGGGGAAAACCUUACCAAACUAAAGCUAACAAAAAUUUAAGUCUUAAUCUAUUCUAUUACUCUUUCUUCUUACCUCGCUCUUUUGCUGACCAUCUGGUUAUUAACAUAACCAAGUCAAUUUUGCCUCAAACUAUUGCAUUUAAUGCUUGCCUUGUUAUACCCUGUGGGGACUUGCCCAGUCAAAGACAGCUCUCUACUUCAGAAAAGUACCUCUGUCCCUCCUGACUCUCCUCAGACUGGGCAUUAGUAAAUUAGGACCAUUUAAUCUGGGGAAAUUUUGAUUAAGACUCCAGUGUCAACCAGGAGUCUUGCUCCCCUAUGUAGAGCUUUUAUGCCGUAGUUGGUCCAACAUUCUGUGGACCACUAAAGAGCAAGGAUGGGCUGCCCCAACCGGUUUUUGUAAUUUCCUAAAAUCAUACAUUCAUUUUACUAGAGGAUGAUAGAAGUUAAAGACUUAAAACAAACUUUGGCAAUUAAGACAGGAUACCAAGAUGCAAAUGCCUGGUUGGAAUGGAUCAAAUAUUCCAUCUGCACGUUAAACAAAAGCAAUUGUUAUGCUUGUGCACAUGGCAGGCCAGAGGCCCAGAUUGUCCUCUUUCCACUAAGCAGCUGAUCCUCCAGUCGACCACACGUGGGCUGCAUGGUAGCUCUUAUCCAGGAUUCUACAGCCUGGAGUAGUAAGUCAUGCCAAGCUCUCUCUGCUAUAUCCCAAAGUCCGGUACCCUGCGGGUCAGCCCCCGAGGGCCAUCCAGCUUCCGUCUCCCAACACUAAGUUCACUUCGUGUCUCUCACAACAGGGAAGAAACUUAGCGUUCCUUGGAGACCUGAAGGGAUGCAGUGAGCUUAAGAAUUUUCAAGAGCUUAUCAAUCAGUCAGCCCUUGUUCAUCCCCGAGCGGAUAGGCUGGUGCUGGUUUACCGGAAAUUCUAGGGGUGGUACAUGUGCUAAAAGACUUUUAGUUUUGAGGGAAAGGAAAGUGGAAGAUAAACCAAGUAUAUAAUUUCUAAGAAGUUGACCUUUUGUUUUAAAUGUGGGGACAUCAGCAGUGGACUUUAUAGUUCUUGGUGCCUUUCCACUGAGAAAUUUCCUUUAGCACCUAUUUUUAUUAGUUUUUAGACCAAAGAAGCCAAAUACCAUUUUAUAUUUGACAAUGCUUCCUGUAUGAUUUUUAUACCAGAUAAGCUAAAUUUCACCUUUAUAUUAGUGUGUUAUUAAUGUUAAACUUAGUUUUAAUAAAACUUUGUAUACAUAUUUAUUGAAUUUUUCAUGUUGGACCAUCAGGUAAGAUUUUUAUAGACUCACUUUUUAUAAUCUUUGUUAAAGAGCAGGUUAGUGCUUUAAGAAAAACCCAUUGUGUUUUUACUUUAAUGUCCAAUUCACAGAAAAACUGGAUGUUACCCCUUUACCUUUGGCUAAUAUGUUUACACACAGAAUUUCCUUUACAAUUAACAUUUUAAAACUUGCUUAAACCUUCAAAAUAGUUUUUUUAACCUUUUAAUGUAUGUAACAACUUACAUUCUUUUGCCUCCUUAUAAUCCUUUUACCAAAGUUAUAUUUUACUUUCCUUAUACACCUUGCACAUAAACUGUUUAUUUCAAUAGUUUUACAUUCAGGAGGCCUAGUUACUUUUAAAUUAUACAACUUUUCUUGCAUAAAUUCUUUUUUUUUAUAACAUAUUUCUCUUUCACAACUUUUGCAGACAAUUCUUAGCAAUGCCUGAACUUUCUGACUUAUUACAAACAUUUCUUUCUUUAAACAACCAGUUAAUUUAUUUCAGGACAAGAAUUUACCAUAUAACACUUUUUUUACAUAAAUUCUGCCCCUCCUUUUCUUCUUUUUUUUUUUUUCAGAGAUAACCAUUCUUUUCCAAAGCGAACUUGCUUUAUGACUGUGGACUAGACUGUCUAAGGCCACAAGAUUAUAAUUUACUAUAAUACAUGUUACAAUGUUAGCUUUUAGCAAACUUUACUUUUGUUGAAAACCUUGCAAGUUUGGGAUUUUAAUUAUCCUUUGCUAUUAAUAAGACCUUGUUUUGUCCAAAUUAACUUAGAAUUGGUAUAGAUGGCUUUUUUUUUUUUUUUCCUUCAAUUACCCGGGAGGAACCAUUGAUGGUCCUGUCCUGUAGGGAAUUCUGGUCUGGUCGGACCUUUGUAUGGUAAUUAAGACUUAGAUGCCCUGUUAGGAAAACUUCUGGGUUAAGGGAUUUUUUUCGUGGUUAAUGUUAAAACAUCCUUUUUUUUUUUUUUUUUUUUCCUUAGGAUACUUCUGAACUGGUGAGGUAUGCUCACACUGAGGUUUCCUCUAAAAGUUAUUUUUUUACUUUCUUCUGUUAGCAAAGCCAUUGCCGCUACAGACUGAAUGCAUCUGGGCCAUUCGUGGGUUACUGGGUUAAAGAUUUUUGAUAGGAAGGCUACGGGUUAUCAGUGGCCUCUGUGCUUUCGGGAUAUGCCCUUGUUUACACUGACAACAAAGUGGUAUUGGAGUGUUAUAGGGUUACAGAGAAUACCUUCAAUUAUCAAUUAUAGGUUUUAAAUUUACCCUGGCUUUUAAAGGAAUAGGGCACACUUUUUUUUAACUACUUGUAUAUUUCUCUGUCUUUGACAUUGUCUCUCUUUUUGACUUUCCUUUUGCCUCUGUCUCUUCCUCUCUCUCUCUUUCUCCUUGACUCCCUCUUUGUCUCUCUGUCUCUUCCUCUCUCUCUUCUUCUCUCUCUUUGCCUCUUUUCCUGUCUCUUUCUUCUCUGUCUCUUUGCUGGUCUUUCCUUGCCUCUGCCAGCUGCUUAUGCUGCUGUUCUCUCAACCACCGUGGGGGUAGGGAGGGGGUCUAAAACCAGCUGUAACCAAGUGUCUAUGUACGGGAACUGGUCUGGGCACCCUGGCUUACAGGUUACCUUGUGCCAUACCUUUGAAACAAGGGACCAGUCCAUGCUUCCUUCUGAUGGCCAACCCACCUCUAAUGCUGGCCAGUCUAUUUCACACAAAGUCCUAAGUUUUCCUGGUGUCAUAGUAACACCGUAAUCUCCCUUAAAUCCUUUCUUGAAAUUUUUCAACAUAGUUCCUAGUGGGGUGGGCUUACUUUGUGCCUGACCCAUGCUUCCUCAAGACAAAACACCACGCUCACACCGCACGCACACCACAAAAAGAACGGGUAAAAAGGGCACACACACACUUUUACAGUUUACACCAAACCAGAAUCAAAACCAAAAUCAGAGUAUCAAGAAAUCCAAGCCAGGUCAAAACCAAAACCAAAGUAUCAAGCAAUCCAAGUCAAGUCAAAAACAAAAAACCAAACUGCCAGUACAGGCAUGCCAUGGGUGAUCAGGCCACGCUUCCACUCAAAUGGAGUAGGCAAUUUCCAAAGACUAGUCUUACCAAGUUUCAGAUGUCUGGACUCCAAGUGCCAGUUCCUUCCCGGCGUUCAGCCACUGCGUUGAUCCUCCACAGGGGCCUGCCACGCACUGCUCUGGUGAGGCGUUCCACUGGGACAAUUGCCUACCCAGGAGCACUCUCAGGAUCUGCGUUGCUCAAGCUGGCCGGAGUCCCCCACAGAGAUGCUCCAUGGGGUAGGCCUAAACUGCCUAAGGGGCUGCCUCGACCGUCUGUUAAUCACCUCACUUCCUGGUCAGGGAACCAAGAAAUGUAGCAGGACAAGCCACAGACAAAACCCCUCAGACACUGAGUUAAAGAAGGAAGGGCUUUAUUCGGCCAGGAGCUUCGGGAAGACUCACAUCUCCAACAACUGAGCUCCUCUAGUGAGCAAUUCCUGUCCUUUUUAAGGGCUCACAACUCUAAGGGGGUCCCUGUGAGAGGGUCGUGAUCAAUUGAGCAAGCAGGGGGUAUGUGGCUGGGGGCUGGAUGCACUGGUAAUUAGAAUGGAACAGAACAGGACAGGGAUCUUUACAGUGCUUUUCUUAUGCAAAUAACCGAUUAGGUCAGGGGUCAAGCUUUAACUACCAGGCCUAGGGUGUGGCGCCAGGCUGUCCGCUUGUGGAUUUCAUUUCUGCCUUUUACUUUUUACUACUUCUUUCUUUGGAGGCAGAAAUUGGGCAUAAGACAAUAUGAGGGGUGGUCUCCUCCCUUAACAUCAUAGUAAUUGGGGGAAUCUUGGAAAGGAUUUUCUCUAAAACAGAAACAACACAAGGAUGCCAAAUUUUUCCACUCUCAUUUAAUGUAUUAGGGUAUGUCCUAGCCAGAGCAAUCAGGAAAGAAAAAUAAAUAAAAGGAAUCCAAAUUUAAAAAGAGGAAGUUUAAUUAUCCCUGUUUGCUGAUGAUAGAAUCAUAUAUCUAGAAAAACCUAGACUCCGCCAAAGAACUCUGAUUUGAUGAACGAAUUCAAUAAAGUUGAAGAAUACAAAAAUAUUAUUGUACAAAUAUCAGUAGUGUUUCUAUAUACCAAUAAUGACCUUGCAAAGAAAGAAAUCAAGAAGGCAAUCCCAUUUACAAUAGCUACAAAAAAAACCCUAGCAAUAAAUUUAACCAAGGAGGUGAAAGAUUUCUACAAGGAAAAUUACAAAACACUGCUGGAAUAAAUUGUAGAUGACACAAACAAAUGGAAGAAUAUCACAUGUUCAUAAAUUGAAAUAAUUAAUAUAAAUAAAGUGACUCAUAUGGUUUGGUUCCAUGUCCCCAACCAAAUCUCAUGUUGAAUUGUAAUUCCCAAUGUUGGGGGAGGGACCUUGUGGGAGGUAAUUGGAUCAGGGGGGUGGAUUUCCCCCAUGCUGUUCUUGUGACUGUGAGUUCUCAGGAGAUCUGAUGGUUUAAAAGUGUGUGGCAUUUCCCCCUUGCUUGCUCUUGUUCCACCACGGUAAAGACGUGCUUGCUUCCCCUUCACCUUCUGGCAUGAUUGUUACUGAGGCCUCCCAUUCAUGCUUCCUGCAAAGUGGAACUGUGAGUUUUUAAACCUCUUUUCUUUGUAAAUUACAGUCUCAGGUAGUUCUUUAUAGCAGUGUGAGAACAGACUAAUAGAAUGACCAUAACUGCCUAAUCUACAGAUUCAAUGCAAUUCCCAUCAAAAUACCAGUGUCGCUUUUCACAGAAUUAGAAAAAACAACCAUAAGAUUCAUAUGGAACCAAAACAAAGCCCAAGUAACCAAAGCAAUCUUAAGCAAAAAGAUCACAGCUGGAAGCAUCACUUUAUUUGCCUUCAAAUAAUAUUACAACGCUCUAGUAAGCAAAAUAACAUGAUAGUGAUAUAAAAAUAGUAUACAGAUUAAUAUAAAAGAAUAGUGAAUCCAGAAAUAAAGCCACAUAUUUACAGCCAACUGAUUUUUGACAAAACCAACAACACAUACAGUGGGGGAAAGAAGACCCGCUUUAAUAAAUGGCUUAAAAAUUGAAUAUCUAUUGCAGAAAAAUGAAACUGAAUCCUUAUCUCUCACCACAUACAAAAACCAUCUCAAGAUGGAUUAAAACUUACAUGUAAGACCCAAUACUUUAAAAAUGUUAGAAGGAAACCUAGAGUAAACUCUUCUGGACAUUGAUCUAGGCACCAAAUUAAUGAUUAAGAACUCAAAAGCACAGGCAACAGAAGAAAAAAUAGACAAAUGGGACUUAAUUAAACUAAAAAGCUUCUUCGCAGCAAAGGAAACAAUCAACAUAGAGAAGAGACAACCUGUUAUAUGGGAGAAAAUAUUUUCAAACUAUCAAUCCAACAGAGGACUAAUAUCCAGAAUAUACAAGGAACUCAAACAAUAAAAUCAAAUAAUCCCAUGUGGGACAAAAGACAUGAACAGACAUUUUUCAAAAGAGACAUACAAAUGGCCAACAGGUAUAUGAAAAAAUGCUCAUCAUUAAUCAUCAGGGAAAUGCAAAUCAAAACCACAAUGAUAUUUCAUUUUACCCCAGCUAGAAUGGCCAUUAUUAAAAAGACAAAAAAGAGCAGAUGUUGGUGAGGAUAUGGAGAAAAGAGAACUCAUAUACUGUUGCUCGGAAUGGAUAUUAGUACAGCCUUUACGGAAAACAGUAUGGUUUUUCAAAGAACUAAAAGAACUAUCAUUCAAUCCAGCAAUACCACUGCUAGGUAUCUACUGAAAGGAAAAAAAUCAAUAUAUCAAAAACAUACUUGCUCUUGCAUGUUUAUCACACCACUAUUCAUAGCAAAGGGGAAUCAACCUAAGUGUCUAUCAAUAGAUAAAUGAGUAAGAAAAUGUGGUGUAUAUACAUAAUGGAAUCCUAUUCAACCAUAAAAAAGAAUACAAUCAAGUAUUUUGCAGCCAUACAGAUGAAACUGAAGGUCAUUAUCUUUGCUAUCUUCUAGACAAAAGGUCUUGCUAUGUCACCCAGGCUGGAGUGUCUUGGCACAAUUAUAGCACACUGCAGCCUUGAAAUCCUGGGCUGAAGUAAUCCCUCCUCCUCAGCCUUCCAACUAGCCAGGACUACAGGUUCAUGCCACAGCUCCAGCUAUUUAUUUUUAUUUUUAUUUGUAAAGAGAAGGUCUUGAAAUUAUGCGCAGCCUGGUCUUGAAAUUUUGGCAUCAAGCAAUCUGGCUGCGUUGGCCUUCUAAAUUCCUGGGAUUACAGGCACAAGCCACCACACUCAUCCUGGAAAUCAUUAUCUUAAGUGAAACGAGCCAGGCACAGAAAGACAAAUAUUACCUGUUAUCACUCCUAAGUGGGUGCUACAAAAUGUGUUCACAUGGACAUAGACAGAUAAUGGACAUAGAUAGAUAAUGUAGACUUGAAAGGUGAGGGAGUGGGAGUAGGGAGAAUGAUGAGAAAUUAUUUAAUGGCUACAGCAUACAUUAUUUAGGUGACAAAUACCCUAAAAGCCCUGACUUGACCACCAUGCAACCUAUGUAUGUAACAAAAUAGCAUAUGCGCCUGAUAAAUGUAUUUUUUAAAAAAAAUCAGUGAGUCUCUAUGUUUUACUAUCUCAUGACCAAAAUUCUAAAAUGAAAGUUGAAAGUAUUUUUAUAUGAGCAUAUAUAUGAAAGUAUUUUUAUAUGUGUAUAUAUACAUUUAGAUGUGUUUACACAUAUGUACAUGUACUGUGUUAUAUGUUACAUGUACAUAAUAAAAUCUGGUAUAAUUAGCUUGACAUCCCUCAAAAUAUUUUAUUUAGAUAUAUUGGGUGCACAUAUAAAAUCAAUAGUAUACUAAUUAUCCCAUUCAAUAAAAUUAUAGAAACAGUCUUGCUCUUUCACCUAGAAUGGAGUACAGUGGCAUAAUCAUAGCUCACUGCAACCUUGAAAUUCUGGGCCCUUGAAAUUCUUUCUGCCACAGCCUCCCAAGUAGCUAGGAUUAUAGGCACCUGGCACCCCAACUUUUUUUUUUUUUUUAGUUCACAAGUAAAUCUUGAUAAAUUGGUUUAAAAAUGGUUGAAAAAAUAAAAUUAGAAAUAUCUUCAAAAGUGUCAACAUACAUUCUCACUUGAGUUUACUGGUCACACAGUUUUAUAUAUGCCUCUGCUAGAUCUUUUAAUGUAAUAAGGUGAUAAAGCCUAAAACAACAUAAUCUUUAACCCUUUGAUAAGAUUAAUUUAAUAUUGUUGCUUUAAUAAAAUCAGCCGUGUCUCCUGACUUAUUGACAGGAUUUAUACAAUAGGACUUAUUGACCUAUGUAUUUAACCUUAAAGUUCUUACUUAGGGAAAUUCCUGAUAUUAACAGGCAAUAAAAUUCGUUAAUAAAAACCUAAUAACUAGCUAUGUCUAGUAUCUCAAUUUUCAUAGGUAAUCAAGGUAUAAUUGUUAAAAAAUAAAUAAAUUAGGUAAUUGCAAACAGAGUAAGCAUUUACAAAUAAAUUUUCAUGUAAUUUAAAAUCUUAAAGUUAUGUUAAAUUAAAU